rnacentral:lncRNA from 1 species
CUUCUAGGUCAGAGGGAUUUGGGUUUUAAUUUUAGGGUUAUUGAUUUGGGGUUACUGAUUUGGGUUUUAUCUAACCAUUUGGGUGUUGGCUUGCGGUUGCUCUACCUCGAUCAACAAAGGUAAAGAAAAAAAAAAAUUAGAGUUUCAAUUUGUUUCGACACUGUUGUGAUUUUGGUGUUAACCAUCUCUCUUUGUUUCCUUUGUAGAUGCUUAGCUUUGUCAUCUCUCUUGCCCUCUACGGCUGUUGCACUCACUCUGAAGCUUUGAUAGGUAAGAAAUCUUGAGUGCUUUUCUUUCAUAAGAACUCUGGCCAGUCCCCUUUCUCAGUCCCCUUUCUUUCAUAAGAACUCUGUGGUUUGCGAAUUUGAAGGUGGGGUUCAGAUAAUCUCAGUUGAGUCUUGCUAAUGUUGCAGCUAUUUCAUAUGUGUAUUUUAAUUUCAUUUGAGAUCUGUCUGUCUCUUUUUUAAAUUUUGGGUUCUCUUUCUUGAUCCAUGGUAUGUCUCAAAUUGUCUUUGUAUUCUCUGUUUAUGUUUCUCUUGUUUUCCCUUUGUUUCCUUGUUUCCUUGUUUCUCAAUCACGAUGGCUGCCUCCUCUCAUAUGAAUUUUAUGUUUUGCCCCUUCCUUUACUCGAUUCAUAUAUGACCAAUGCCUCAUAUCUUAUUUAACCAAGUCAAUUUUGAUCCCCAUCGACAUGAAUUUGCCUUCUUCUCUUGAUUUGAGACCAUACCUUAUUUUUAAUUAAUUAAUUAUUUGUGUUUCUCAAAUGUGGUUAUUUUGCUUUGUUGCUUUCGUUCUUUGAAUUUUUAUAAUGUCAAAUAAAAUAAAAAUCUUGAAAUUCUUCUGUUUGCAAUCGUUUAUAAUGAUAUUGAUAUAGAUGAGUCAACAGUCAAACGGCAAAGGGGCUUAGUUGGCCAUAGUUAAAUGUGACCUUGAAACAGAAAAUAUUAUUUGGAAUAUAGCCUGCUAUAUGUGGAAUUUGGAGUUGUCAAUAAUGGACGUUUUAGCUAUCCCGUGACAUUUCAAACAUGGACAGUUUUUUAGUACAAAAUUGUAAGGAGGAGCCAUAUCAGAAAACCAAUUUAGAUGAAAUGUGAUAGCUUUCAGGAACUAUCUUCCUUCAAAGCUUUGUAGAUAAUCUCUGUAACUGAAUUUCCACAGUAUGUCUCAAAACACAUAAGAUACUUUGAAUUUGUAUCUAGUUGACUACGUGGAUACAUGAUGGAUAUCCAAGGGAUACAGGAGGGAUUAUUUUGUAUUUUCUUUUCGAAGAACAAUGGGUUGAGGAUAAUUUUUCUAGAAAAAAAAAAAAAAAAGGGUUGUUUGGAAUUGUUUCUAUAAAAGAGAGAUCUGAGUGCUAGUUUCAAUUGUUAAAGAAAAAAUAAACAUUUAAUAUUUAAUGAUUGUAUUGUACCAAUAGUGAUAGUCAUGUCUAGCUUGUUAAAAAUGGAUAAGAUAAGUGAACCAUAUUUCUGGGAUUACUGUCAUGGCUCUGUUCUGUAUGGCAGAGGUUCCAUGGACUUCUCUAAAUUGUGCAAGGUCUAGACCUGAGCUGGCUUCUAAAUAUCUACUUUUUCUCUUAAACUUGAGCUAGUUUUUGUCGUACAUACCACAUGGUGCCGUUACAAAGUAAAAUGUAGAUGUUAAGUUAUACUUUUUGUUUUUUAGUUUAUACAUUAUCAACAUCGUGCAUUUGGAGUUUCUCAUCCAUAGUUUUAGCUAUUCUUGCAAACAUGUUAUUGUGAAUGCAGUUACUAUCUUGCUAAGAAGAAAAUUCCUUCUAUCCAUGGAAAUACAAUGGGAGUAAAACUACAGCAGUUCAUAUUUGAUGCGUUUCCAUACGCACCUUCAACUACACUUUUUGAGGUGACUUCAUUUCCCCCACUCCUUUCUUUUUUCUUUUUUCUUUUUCUUUUUUCCAUUAAUCGAUAAUUUACUGUUAAGUUUUCAGACUGACAUGGGCUUCCUAAACCCCAAAAUUUACAACCCAAAAAAUAAUACAUUCUUAAUUUCCUUGCCUCCCUCUCUAAUAAUCCCCAUAAGAUUUACAGUUUACAAUUGUUGGUACUUUUGCAGAGAUUGUUGUGUAGUUUUUAGCCUAAAAAUACAAACCAAAAAGUGGAGAAGUGGCUGCAGAGAUAGUUGUUUCCUGAGCCACGCCGCUCCUGUUUAUUGCUUUGCUCCUCAUGAGCCUUCAAACCCUUAACUUGAGUUGAGAGUUGAGAUCUUCAGCCCUCCUUUGGACUUGGGCUCCAAAACUGAAAAGUAUUUGCAGCCCUUGAGUUGAGAGUUGAUAUCACUCUUGCUUUGCAUUCAAACAGAGGUAUAGUCUUCAAACCUUGAAUUCAGUUUUGGUCUCUUUUUCUGCAUUUGAAUAUUUGU